ensembl:lncRNA
CCCCACCUUCCCUAAGGUAAGAUGGGCUCACCCUAAAGGCUGGCUCUUAGAGGAAAACCAAGCUCUACUCCCCCACACCCACCCACCCCCUCCACUCCCUCCACCUCAUAGAUUACCGGUUCACCCUGUCCUCUGUCUUCCUCCAGGUCCACAGCUGCCUGCAGUGUUCUCCAACUAGGAACUAUGGCGUCCAGAGGUGCUGCGAGUCGUUGUAUUCCUACUGCUCCACAGGAUCCUGCUCUUGAAGGGCAACAACUGCAAUACCACCUGGAAACUCCAGUUUGACGUCCAGCCCAGCCUCCUCUGAUGUUCCUGAUGUCAUUCUGGACUUCUUUAAUUGGAUAAUUGAGCACAAUUUGCCUUCCCCUUUGAGGAUCAACAGUACACUUUUCCCAGUUGCCUGUAGGGUACAUGAAUACCUCUGGGAUUUCACAAGGAAUUUGCCGUCUGGAUCUAGACUCCUGCUCUGCACCAGGCACCUCCCACAGAAACUCAGCUCUGGCAUUGUACUGAUGUCAUCCUUGUCCCGGGACCUGGCUAUGACUCUGUGUCACACACUGUCACCACUAUAGCAUAUUCAAAAGCAGAGACAUUACUUUGCCAACAAAGGUUCGUCUAGUCAAGGCUAUGGUUUUUCCAGUGGUCAUGUAUGGAUGUGAGAGUUGGACUGUGAAGAAGGCUGAGCGCCGAAGAAUUGAUGCUUUUGAACUGUGGUGUUGGAGAAAACUCUUGAGGGUCCCUUGGACUGCAAGGAGAUCCAACC